ensembl:lncRNA
CAGCCCUCUACAUCCCUUCUAACCCUUCAUCCACCCACCUUCCCUCCCCGGCCCCAGCACAGUCCUGCGACAGCUCAGUGUCCUCCUAGGACAUGGAAGGCCAGCAGCAUCCCCUGUUUAUCUUGGGCCUGCCAGUCCUUUAAGCCCCACCUCUUCUUCCAGGAAGCCUUCCCGACUGCUCCAGCCUGCUUUCACUUCAGUUCCAACGAUUCUGAAGGUGGUGGGGACACACAGAAGAAUCGGAGCAGACCUAGCCCCGGGGAGCUCACAAUCUUGGAGGGAAGGUGGGACAAAUGGAGAGAGGAACAUGGAAGCAUAUACACUGCUGCUGCUGCUGCUGCUAAGUCACCUCAGUCGUGUCCAACUCUGUGCGACCCCAUAGAUGGCAGCCCACCAGGCUCCCCGUCCCUGGGAUUCUCCAGGCAAGAACACUGGAGUGGGUUGUCAUUUCCUUCUCCAAUGCAUGAAAGUGAAAAGUGAAAGUGAAGUCACUUGGUCAUGUCUGACUCUUAGCGACCCCAUGGACUGCAGCCUACCAGGGGGAUUUUCCAGGCAAGAGUACUGGAGUGGGGUGCCAUUGCCAUGUGUAAAAUAGAUAACC